rnacentral:rRNA from 1 species
AGAGUUCGAUUAUGGCUCAGAACGAACGCUGGCGGCAGGCCUAACACAUGCAAGUCGAGCGAGAUCUUCGGAUCUAGCGGCGGACGGGUUAGUAACGCGUGGGAACGUGCCCUUCACUACGGAAUAGUCCCGGGAAACUGGGUUUAAUACCGUAUACGCCCUUCGGGGGAAAGAUUUAUCGGUGAAGGAUCGGCCCGCGUCUGAUUAGAUAGUUGGUGGGGUAAUGGCCUACCAAGUCUACGAUCAGUAGCUGGUUUGAGAGGAUGAUCAGCAACACUGGGACUGAGACACGGCCCAGACUCCUACGGGAGGCAGCAGUGGGGAAUCUUAGACAAUGGGCGCAGGCCUGAUCUAGCCAUGCCGCGUGAGUGAUGAAGGCCUUAGGGUCGUAAAGCUCUUUCGCCUGUGAAGAUAAUGACGGUAGCAGGUAAAGAAACCCCGGCUAACUCCGUGCCAGCAGCCGCGGUAAUACGGAGGGGGUUAGCGUUGUUCGGAAUUACUGGGCGUAAAGCGCACGUAGGCGGACUAAUAAGUCAGAGGUGAAAUCCCAGGGCUCAACCUUGGAACUGCCUUUGAUACUGUUAGUCUUGAGUUCGAGAGAGGUGAGUGGAAUUCCGAGUGUAGAGGUGAAAUUCGUAGAUAUUCGGAGGAACACCAGUGGCGAAGGCGGCUCACUGGCUCGAUACUGACGCUGAGGUGCGAAAGUGUGGGGAGCAAACAGGAUUAGAUACCCUGGUAGUCCACACCGUAAACGAUGAAUGCCAGUCGUCGGGUAGCAUGCUAUUCGGUGACACACCUAACGGAUUAAGCAUUCCGCCUGGGGAGUACGGUCGCAAGAUUAAAACUCAAGGAAUUGACGG